rnacentral:misc_RNA from 1 species
AUUAACAAAAUAUUCAUAAACAGUUAAUUCAAGAGGUUCGCCAUCCCCAUCCCUUCUUUUUAGUUGAAACGUUAGCUCUUUGCAAGGUCUCUCACUCAGACCAGUUAUCUUGUACUCUUGAUUGGAGGGGAUAGCCUUGAUCCUCAGGUUUUUUAGCGUUCGUUUUGCCUUAGUCCAGUCAAGUUGAAAGGGGUCUCUCGCAUUUUG